GCCCGGACACCUCAGCUUCCAGUCUCACUGCUAACUUGCCUUCUGCACUUGAGCGCUCUCAACUUAGCAGCAUCUCAGGAGACCUGUGCGCCACCUGUAACAUCCAGACUGCAAAGAAACAGGCUUGAAAG